GUGAUUCAGCAAGUAGGAUGCAGCAAUGAGGUCAGACUCUCAAUCCACUCUGUGAUUUAACCUGCCUACCAAACAGCAAAAGAUCUGGGCGGCGGGGCAACCGCACCACAACAAAACACAAAUCACUGCCACCCGACCUCACGGAACCUUCCACCUCCGAUGCAUUGUAAGAGACAACUCCUGCAAUUCCUGAAGAGACCGUUGUGGGCUGCAUGCCCUGAAUACCAAAGGCGUUUUAUGUACCUACGUCUACUGCAGGCGAGAGCCCAGACUGUCUUGCAACUGUCAGGACAAGCUCCAAUGCAAGUGUGAAAGCACGGAUCCUGAGCCUGGUGCAGAGCGUCUAUCGGGGGAGUAUGAGGAGAGGUGGUGUAAACCUGCUCCCAGGCUUGGCUCCAACACCCUCCCACCCAUAGUUCUUCUCCUCUUUGUUUUUCCACUUGUACUUACCCAGUUCUAAGGAUCCAGAGAAGCUUCUCGAAGCCUACAAUGCUACUUGAGGUAAGUU